rnacentral:rRNA from 1 species
CAGCAGCCGCGGGAAUACGAAGGGUGCAAGCGUUACUCGGAAUUACUGGGCGUAAAGCGUGCGUAGGUGGUGGUUUAAGUCCGUUGUGAAAGCUCUGGGCUCAACCUGGGAAUUGCAGUGGAUACUGGGUCACUAGAGUGUGGUAGAGGAUAGUGGAAUUUCCGGUGUAGCAGUGAAAUGCGUAGAGAUCGGAAGGAACAUCUGUGGCGAAGGCGGCUAUCUGGGCCAACACUGACACUGAGGCACGAAAGCGUGGGGAGCAAACAGGAUUAGAUACCCGCGUAGUCCCUGUCUCUUAUAC